ACGAACUAUCUUCUUGAAGAAUGCUGUAUUUCGGAUUGUUAUGUGCGUCCUACUUCUAUUUCGGCGAUAUGAAAUUUCGAGGACGAAAUUUUUAUAAGGAGGGGAGAUUGUAACGUCCCGAACCCAAAUUCACCGGUUUACUAGUCAUUUGGACAGUAAACGGUAAUUUGUUUUACUUUUACUCUUUUUCAGCAACUUUAGUGGCCCUAAAAGUUGACUUUUUGUUCGGGUCAAAAUUUGGGAAACUGUUCUUCAUGGAAGUCGUAGAGGACGUUAAACCGAGCGCGUGCAUAUGUUGUGCGUAAAAAUCGGAGUUCGUAUGUGAAAGUUAUAAGUGAAAAUGUGAAUUUACUGUUCAUGGUAACUCUCUAUAUAUAAGGAAACUUACCGAGGUAAGUUCCCAUUUCAGAACUUACCCUGACCCUCUCUCUCUCCUCUUCCUCUUCCCCGCGUCGCCCUCCCUUUUUCUUUUUCCGAUUUCUUCACCGUUCGGCGUCCGAUUGAUGUGAUUCCAGUUGUCCUUGGACCGUCUCUUCCUCCUCUAUACGAUGGUAUCAGUGGGUAUCGGUGAUUUGGCCGGAAAACCCCGAAUUUAUGCAAUCAUCGUUACUGUAGCAAUUUGCUUCUCCGGUGAAAUUCUCCAGUUUUCGGCUAUCUCCGGCGGGAAAAUUGGUUCUAUUAGGAGCGCCUCGAGUCACUGAUCAUCUUCCCUCAAGACUUCUAGCUGAAAUUUCCACGUUUGGAAGGUGAAUUUGAAGGAUUUCCAAAUUGGUGGGUUUGGAGAUUUUCGGGUUUGUGUUCAUCGGCAAAAUUGGAGCACUUCAAGGAUGUCGUACCGAGCCCUGGCUCGAUGAAGGAACUUGUAUACGUGAUCGUCGGAAUAGUACUUGUGCAGGAGAAAUUAGUUGAGGUCGGGCGUACAUGGAGUCGAGGCAUAGUCAACAGUAUGGCUUCCGCGAUUGCCUUGAAUUAGGUUUUCCUCAUUUACCUUUCUAUUAGAAUUGCUCUGAUUACCUGCGGAAUUAAGGUUAUUAAGUUGAGAUUUGUGUGUUGUGAUUUUGGUUGAUGUUGUUUGGGGGAGCAGGGUGGCUCCAAGAGAAUAAGGAUGGGUGAUUUAGAAGUGUAAAUUCUCUUUCUACAGGUUUUGGGUUGUCCACUUUAGGGGAAGUUCUGCCUAAUUUUUGGCAAAAUUUCUUCUAAGGUGGGCCCCGCAGGUCCACUUCGGAUUUCAGGGUGAAAUUCGGGGCGGGUCCUGUCACAAAGUGGGUCAAAGUCAAAACAUCAACAAAAUUGGCUGAUUAUAGUAUACUGUACUCAUCUCAUCCAGCGGGUCGGUUUUUCUUUAUCCAUAUGUCUCGAUAUGGUUUCCCUUUGUGGAACCUAAUGUAUAUAUAUAUAUAGGGCUCUUAGGUACCAUUUACCCAAAUUGGGCCUAAUAAAUGCUCACUUACUCCACGAAAAGAUUUGUGUGCCAACUUACUCAAUUUAAAUGUAAAAAAAAUGUUUGCCCUUUAAAUAAUUAAAAA